rnacentral:rRNA from 1 species
GGUCAAGUUAUUAAGGGUGCAGGGCGGAUGCCUUGGCACUAGGAGCCGAUGAAGGACGCGAUAAGCUGCGAUAAGCUUCGGGGAGUUGCACGUAAACUUUGAUCCGAAGAUUUCCGAAUGAGGAAACUCACUUAGAGUAAUGUCUAAGUAUCAUUAAGUGAAUACAUAGCUUAAUGAGGGGAACUCAGGGAACUGAAACAUCUAAGUACCUGAAGGAAGAGAAAGAAAUUCGAUUCCGUAAGUAGCGGCGAGCGAACGCGGAAUAGCCCAAACCAAUAAAGUUUUCUUUAUUGGGGUUGCGGACAUAUCUUAAACGAAGAGGUAUCGUAAUUGAAGAGGUUUGGAAAGA